CUUGGAGUUUUUCUUGAGAAAUAGACAAUCUAUCUGAAAAUAUUCGAGCUUCUUACAUUCAUAGCAAAGAGGUUGUUUUUUUUUUUUUCUUUCUCUUUGCUACCAUCUCCCUUGCUGUACCUUUUUCUUGGUUCAAAUUUUUUUUUCUCAUGAACUUCUUGAACCUUCUUGCUACCAUGGCCAUCUCCUCAUCAUUUUUCAAAUCUUCUUCAGAGUCACUCUCUUCCUCAUGGAUGACAGCAGCUUUAAGGGUAAUAGUAUUUUUUUUUCUUCACCUCUUCUUCUUUCCCUUGAUUCAUGUUCAACUCAUCGGUCAUGAGUGAACCAAUCAGCCCCUCCAAUGCAAGAUUAUUUAAAUCCUUCACCUCUUGAUUGGCAGUCACUUUUGACUCUUAAUUUUUUGACAAAGAUCUAAGAAUUUUACGCACAAUAUC
rnacentral:lncRNA from 1 species